ensembl:misc_RNA 7SK 7SK RNA
AGGAAAGUUGAUCAGGAGGACUUCUCUGCUAACCUACGAAUCUCCUGGGUUAAUUCUGCUGAUUCAGCCAGAGAGGUUUCCUCCUCAGCUUAGCUCUCACUAUUUCUUAUUGUUGCUCUGAGCCCAGAGAAGAGUCAGCUUCCUCUGAUGGAGGAGACCCGUCUUCUGCCAAGGGUAUUGAGUAACUGUUCUUGCCUGUUAGAAUCUCCAAACCAAUGACCAAGAUCCUAAUAAACGAGGGGCCGCCAUUAUUGCCCAGAUAAUUAAGACAAAUGAGUGAAAUUUCUUUGAGGAAAAGUAAAUUUCUAU